GACGACGUUGAUAGGCCGGGUGUGUAAGCGCAGCGAUGCGUUGAGCUAACCGGUACUAAUGAACCGUGAGGCUUAACCUUAC
rnacentral:rRNA from 1 species